GGGGAUGUGACUCAGAGGUAGAGUGCUUGCCUAGUGUGCACAGGCCCUGGGUUGGAUCCCUAGCACCUCCA
rnacentral:tRNA from 1 species